UUUGAUUAACUAACUAAAAUGAAAUAAGAAAGUUUUUAAAAUGAAAUCUUUGGCAAACAAGUAGAUAAAUAUAUUAAAUUAUUAAAAAUGUGGAGAAAUGAAUAGGAACCCAUUUAAAAAAAAACUCAAAUCGUGAUUUUUUUUAUGUUGAUUUAACGUUUGAUUUAUCUCUUUUACGAAACUUAUAACUUAAAAUUGUAACUCAACUAUAUAUUACUAGGUGACUCACCCGCACCUAUGUGCGGAUAUAAACUUUUUUAAUGAACCAAAAUGUAAUAAUUUUGGGUAAUUUUUUAGUUUUAGUUGUAUUUGUUUAUGUAUUUUCAUGUUAUUUUAAUUAAACUUUUAUUUAUAAAUUAUUUAAUUGCUGUGUUAUAAUUUCUGUGCAAUAUAUUCAACUUGGCCAUAAUAUUUAUUUCAAAAAUCUAGUGUAAAAAUUGAUCUUAAAUUGUUAAUUAUUUUGGAUUCAAAUUUUACCAAUUUUUCUCGAACUUUUUAACCAAACAUUCACUAGUAAAAAUCUAUUGCAUAGCUACGGUAGUGCCACUCCAAAACCGUGGCUGUAUAAAAAACGCCAUGGUUUCGCUACGGACUAGCCACGAUUUCAAAUUAGCCACGGUAAAACUAAGUAGCUACGACAACAGCCACUAAGAUUUUUGUGACUAGGGGCUUUUAUAAAAUAGCCACAAUGUUGCCAUGAACUUUUCGUGGCUAUUUGAAACCCUAAUCCCUAAACAUAUUUUUAAACUCUAAACCCUAAACCUAAACAUUAAGACUCAAGUAUUUUCAUAAUAAAACUUCAUUAUUAAAUUAAACCUCAAAUUUUAAUCAUUUUUUCUAUCUCAAAUAUUUAAGCUCCAUUUAAAAUCCUAAUCUUAAUUCUUAAACUAUACAUUCUUUAAUCCUAUGUUUUAAAAACAAAUUCUAAUUAUAACAUUUUAAACUUAAACUCUAAAUCUUAAAUAUAAAACUAUAAACUUAACAUUUCAAAACUUUUUGGCAAACCAUAUAUCAUAUAAACUCAAAUCCUAUAUCAUACUUCAAACCCUAAAUCUCAAACUCAAACCUUACAUACAACGAUAAACUCUUACAUUUAAUCUUAACAUUUAAAUUUAAGCCUUAACAUUUAAACUCAAAUCCUAUUUCUCAAACUACAAAUUCUAUUUUAAAAUAUAAUAUUAAAUCAUUAAACAAUAUAUCUUAUAUUUAACCAUCAUUCCCUAUACAUUUUCUAAACAUUAAACGCUAGCCAUUUUUUUAUAAAAUAAAUUAUCAAAGUAUAUGAAGAAUUAUACACUGUUUUUAAAAGUAUAAACUUUUUUAUAAAAAAAUUAUACACAUUAAUAAAAACUAAACAACAAUAGAAAUGGACAACAUAAAUAAAACACACAGAUUUUUUUAUUUCUUUAUUUUUUUCUUUUCUCCUUACCUCUCUUUUCUCAACCAAUAAGAAGGAGUUGCGUGGAUUGAUAAUUUUAACCAUUAGAUUAAAAUUAUGAAGGGUCCAGAUUAAAAUCCUUUUGUGUUUCUUUCUUCUUCUUUUUUCUCUUUUCCGCUCUCCUUCGCCUGAUCAUUCUUCUUUCAUUCUAUCUCUAUCUCUUUCUCUGUAACGAUCGACUCAUGUAUUCACCUCCUCACCAUCACCACCGGUCGACCUCUCUUUGUCUUCCUCUUCUCUGGCUUCACUUUCACUAUUUCUAGUUGAUAUGUUUUGUUUUGUUUAUAGAUCUGAGAAGGAGCAGUGAUGAACCUUCAAGGAGAACGUGGGUGACGGAGACGACGGUGUGACGUUAAAAUUCUUCAUUGAUCAAUGCAAAUCUGACCCUUCACUUCUCUCGACUCCUUCCGCGAGUAUCUCAAGAGGUGAAUCUGACGAUGAAGGGAAGGAGAAGUGGUGGUGUGGGAAGAUGAUGAAACGGAAAAGAGAAGUGGUGGUGUGACAGUGCAGCGCCUCCGGUGAAGCGUAGUGCGGCGGUAGUGUAUUUGUAUGUAUAUACGUAUUUAUGUAUAUAUAUAUAACAAUAAUGUGUAUUUUUUGUUUUAGUAUUAAUUAAUAAAAAUUAUUUGUUUUUUUUUA